rnacentral:lncRNA from 1 species
AACAUGAUUUGAAAAACUGGUUAUUUUACCAAGGCUUUGACUGGAGAGGUGUGCUGUCCUUUAAGGAAUCAAACUUGACUUAUGGAGCCAAUAAAACUCUCGGGAAACUGGCCUCAUAUUUUAUGUGCACAGUCCCUGUACAGGGUUUCUGACCUGUGGUAAGUAAAGAAUGUCACUUUCUGACAGGCCAGUACCCCCAAGUUAUCUUGGAACCUCAGGAGGAGAGGAAUUCACCCAACUCAUAGGUAUUUAAUGGUACAAUUCCAUGACUGGGCUCAGCUUUAAAAGGCCUUAUCUCAGAUUCCUUCUAUGGAACAAAAUUCCAUCAAUGCCAGUUUAAAAGGCCUAGGUAACAAAUAAUUAUUCUUGCUGCACUGUAUGCAAAUAAUUAAACCAAGUAUAAUAAUGCAAACCAUUCCUACCAUGAUUUAUUUUUUAAUAACGGUUACUGGCAGAAAAUAACACGUGGCCCUUUCCAAACAUGUGCCUCUGCCUCUCAUUAGGUAAGGAAUGUUGCUUCUAUCUCAACCAAUUGGGCCGAGUAAGAAACACUGCUAAAUAACUUAAAGAAAGGGCCAAAGAGCUAAGGGAAUUCCAAAACAACCAAAUGGAUUCUUGAUUUGGGAAAAAAACCAUAGCAUGGGUCAUCCCAUUCCUGGGCCCCCCCCUACUACUAUGCCUAGGACUAAUGUUCUUACCCUGCCUAAUUAAUCUUUUCCAG